rnacentral:rRNA from 1 species
AUUGAACGCUGGCGGCAGGCCUAACACAUGCAAGUCGAACGAGUGGCGGACGGGUGAGUAAUGUCUGGGAAACUGCCUGAUGGAGGGGGAUAACUACUGGAAACGGUAGCUAAUACCGCCUACCAUCGGAUGUGCCCAGAUGGGAUUAGCUAGUAGGUGGGGUAAAGGCUCACCUAAGCGACGAUCCCUAGCUGGUCUGAGUGGAUGACCAGCCAAACGGGAACUGAGACACGGUCCAGACUCCUACGGGAGGCAGAAGUGGGGAAUAUGGCACAAGGGGCGCAAGCCUGCUGCAGCCAUGCCGCGUGUGUGAAGAAGGCCUUCGGGUUGUGAAGUACUUUAAGCGGGGAGGCGUUACCCGCAGAAGAAGCACCGGCUAACUCCGUGCCAGCAGCCGCGGUAAUAC